ACAUAUAGAAAUUAUAGGAAGUUAAAAAUCUUGAAAUUUUCAACAUAAAAAGGCGAUAGUAAAACAACAUUAAUUCGUCUUGAAUCAGCAAUCGUAAUGUGUUAGAGAAACUUGGUAAAACGAGAUGAUAUAACAGACUAUUGGCUCGAGAAGCACGAUGGAACAGCGAGUCGAUGAUGAUCCGACUUUCGAUACUCUCUCACGGUCACGUGUGUACAUUCCGAUGAUCCAAUGGUACGGAAUGAAGUUCCGGAAGUUCAUUAUCUAUUGCUUCAAACGCAAUUAUACCGCACUCGGUUUUAAUCGAGCGUGAUAUUCACCAACGAUUAUAUACGGUGAUUGCUGCGUCAGAAGUGAAUUAGAUCAGGCGUCGAUUAGUUUAAUCGUCCUCGGCCCUUAUCCUUCGACCACGUGGGCUCUAUGAAACUGGGUAAAGGAGAUUGGAUGUUGGAUAAUUCGGGGCAGUAAGAACUGACGGUACAACUUACGUAAGAGUCCAUUAAGUUUUGUACAUCAACCAAUUCUCCGGAGUCGUGCAUGGAGAAAAAUAUGCGUUCUUGGAGAGUAAUUUUACACCGGAUCAACCCGAGAUAUCUGAG